rnacentral:rRNA from 1 species
CGCGGCGGGUGCUUACACAUGCAAGUCGAGCGAGGCGGAGGGGGCAACCCCUCUAGCCGAGCGGCGGACGGGUGAGUAACACGUGGGUAACCUGCCCGGAAGUGGGGAAUACCUCGGGGAAACUCGAGCUAAUGCCGAUGGACAUCUCCGGGACGAAAGUCCUGGCGAUCAAAGCGGGGUCGCAAGAUCUCGCGCUACCGGAUGGGCCCGCGCCCGAUUAGCUAGUUGGUGAGGUAACGGUUCACCAAGGCUUCGAUCGGUAGCCGGCCUGAGAGGGUGAUCGGCCACACCGGAACUGAGACACGGUCCGGACUCCUACGGGAGGCAGCAGUGGGGAAUCUUGCGCAAUGGGCGAAAGCCUGACGCAGCAACGCCGCGUGGAGGAUGAAGGCCCUUGGGUUGUAAACUCCUGUCGGCUGGGAAGAAAUCGUGCGGUGCUCAUACCACCGUACGUUGACUGUA